rnacentral:rRNA from 1 species
GACGAACGCUGGCGGCGUGCUUAACACAUGCAAGUCGAACGGAAGGGCCCUGCUUUUGUGGGGUGCUCGAGUGGCGAACGGGUGAGUAACACGUGAGUAACCUGCCCUUGACUUUGGGAUAACUUCAGGAAACUGGGGCUAAUACCGGAUAGGAGCUCCUGCUGCAUGGUGGGGGUUGGAAAGUUUCGGCGGUUGGGGAUGGACUCGCGGCUUAUCAGCUUGUUGGGGGGGUAGUGGCUUACCAAGGCUUUGACGGGUAGCCGGCCUGAGAGGGUGACCGGCCACCAUGGGACUGCGGUACGGCCCAGACUCCUACGGGCGGCAGCAGUGGGGAAUAUUGCACAAUGGGCGGAAGCCUGAUGCAGCAACGCCGCGUGCGGGAUGACGGCCUUCGGGUUGUAAACCGCUUUCGCCUGUGACGAAGCGUGAGUGACGGUAAUGGGUAAAGAAGCACCGGCUAACUACGUG